rnacentral:rRNA from 1 species
GGGACGAACGCUGGCGGCGUGCUUAACACAUGCAAGUCAAGGGGGCCCGCAAGGGCAACCGGCGAACGGGUGCGUAACACGUGAGCAACCUGCCGAAUGCGUGGGGGGAUAGCCGGCCCAACGGCCGGGUAAUACCGCAUACGUUCCCUUGGGGGAGUCCCUGGGGGAGGAAGCUGUGGCGUAAGCCAUGGCGCGCGUCGAGGGGCUCGCGGCUUAUCAGCUAGUUGGUGUGGGUAACGGCCCACCAAGGCGACGACGAGUAGCUGGUCUGAGAGGAUGGCCAGCCACGAUUGGGACUGAGAAACGGCCCAGACUCCUACGGGAGGCAGCAGGCGGGAAUCGUGCGCAAUGGACCGAAAGGCUAGACGCAGCGACGCGCGUGGGGAUGACGCAGUUCGGUGUCGUAAACCCUGGUUCGACCCGGGACAACCGACCUUACCGUUUUCGGGAGUCGUCGG